UACGUAGGGUGCAAGCGUUAAUCGGAAUUACUGGGCGUAAAGCGUGCGCAGGCGGCUUUGCAAGACAGAUGUGAAAGCCCCGGGCUUAACCUGGGAACUGCGUUUGAAACUGGGAGACUUGAGUGUGGCAGAGGGGGGUGGAAUUCCACGUGUAGCAGUGAAAUGCGUAGAUAUGUGGAGGAACACCGAUGGCGAAGGCAGCCCCCUGGGUUAACACUGACGCUCAUGCACGAAAGCGUGGGGAGCAAACAGG
rnacentral:rRNA from 1 species